rnacentral:lncRNA from 1 species
AUGGCGUGUGCGGUGGACGACCGUGUCAUAGUCGCAGCCAGUGGAUGCGUUGACCACAGCGCAGCCAGGACGGACAACUGCGAAUCACCCGAUAUUGAAGGACCGCGUGCAGCGUGCAGCGCGACCAGAGCCGACAGACUGAAACCCAGUCUCUUGGAAAACAGAGCUAAGCAAAAGCUAUGGUCGUGUCUUCAUGGUGUCCUGAACUCAGAGGAGGACGUGAAAUGA